UGGCUCAGAACGAACGCUGGCGGCAUGCCUAACACAUGCAAGUCGAACGAACCCUUCGGGGUUAGUGGCGCACGGGUGCGUAACGCGUGGGAAUCUGCCCUUUGCUUCGGAAUAACAGUUAGAAAUGACUGCUAAUACCGGAUGAUGUCGUAAGACCAAAGAUUUAUCGGCAAGGGAUGAGCCCGCGUAGGAUUAGGUAGUUGGUGGGGUAAAGGCCUGGCAAACCGACGAUCCUUAGCUGGUCUGAGAGGAUGAUCAGCCACAUUUUCCCUGAGACACGGACCAGACUCCUACGG
rnacentral:rRNA from 1 species